CCUACGGGUGGCAGCAGUGGGGAAUAUUGCACAAUGGGGGAAACCCUGAUGCAGCGACGCCGCGUGAAGGAAGAAGUAUUUCGGUCUUUAAACUUCUGUCAGCAGGGAAGAAAAUGACGGUACCUAACUAAGAAGCCCCGGCUAACUACGUGCCAGCAGCCUCGGUAAUACGUAGGGAGCAAGCGUUAUCCGGAUUUACUGGGUGUAAAGGGAGCGUAGGCGGGUUAGCAAGUCAGAAGUGAAAGCCCGGGGCUCAACCCCGGGACUGCUGUUGAAACUGUUGAACUUGAUUGCAGGAGAGGUAAGUGGAAUUCGUGGUGUAGCGGUGAAAUGCGUAGAUAUUAGGAGGAACACCAGUGGCGAAGGCGGCUUACUGGACUGUAAAUGACGCUGAGGCUCGAAAGCGUGGGGAGCAAACAGGAGUAGAUACCCUAGUAGUC
rnacentral:rRNA from 1 species